UAGGGAAUCUUCGGCAAUGGACGAAAGUCUGACCGAGCAACGCCGCGUGAGUGAAGAAGGUUUUCGGAUCGUAAAACUCUGUUGUUAGAGAAGAACAAGGACGUUAGUAACUGAACGUCCCCUGACGGUAUCUAACCAGAAAGCCACGGCUAACUACGUGCCAGCAGCCGCGGUAAUACGUAGGUGGCAAGCGUUGUCCGGAUUUAUUGGGCGUAAAGCGAGCGCAGGCGGUUUCUUAAGUCUGAUGUGAAAGCCCCCGGCUCAACCGGGGAGGGUCAUUGGAAACUGGGAGUCUUGAGUGCAGAAGAGGAGAGUGGAAUUCCAUGUGUAGCGGUGAAAUGCGUAGAUAUAUGGAGGAACACCAGUGGCGAAGGCGGCUCUCUGGUCUGUAACUGACGCUGAGGCUCGAAAGCGUGGGGAGCAAACAGG
rnacentral:rRNA from 2 species